rnacentral:rRNA from 1 species
UACGAAGGGGGCUAGCGUUGCUCGGAAUUACUGGGCGUAAAGCGCACGUAGGCGGAUUGUUAAGUCGGGGGUGAAAUCCUGGAGCUCAACUCCAAAACUGCCUUCGAUGACUGGCGAUCUCGAGUUCGGGAGAGGUGGAAGUUGGAAUUCCUAGUGGUAGAAGGUGAAAUUCGUAGAUAGUUAGGAAGAACACCAGUGGCGAAGGCGGCUCACUGGUCCGGUACUGACGCUGAGGUGCGAAAGCGUGGGGAGCAAACAGG